rnacentral:rRNA from 1 species
AGUGAACGCUGGCGGUAGGCCUAACACAUGCAAGUCGAACGGCAGCACAGUAAGAGCUUGCUCUUACGGGUGGCGAGUGGCGGACGGGUGAGGAAUACAUCGGAAUCUACUUUUUCGUGGGGGAUAACGUAGGGAAACUUACGCUAAUACCGCAUACGACCUACGGGUGAAAGCAGGGGAUCUUCGGACCUUGCGCGAUUGAAUUAGCCGAUGUCGGAUUAGCUAGUUGGCGGGGUAAAGGCCCACCAAGGCGACGAUCCGUAGCUGGUCUGAGAGGAUGAUAGCCACACUGGAACUGAGACACGGUCCAGACUCCUACGGGAGGCAGCAGUGGGGAAUAUUGGACAAUGGGCGCAAGCCUGAUCCAGCCAUACCGCGUGGGUGAAGAAGGCCUUCGGGUUGUAAAGCCCUUUUGUUGGGAAAGAAAAGCAGCAGGUUAAUACCCCGCUGUUCUGACGGUACCCAAAGAAUAAGCACCGGCUAACUUCGUG